CUUGGUUGGUACUAAGAACAUAGUCAUUCCACAAAGGGUGUUAGUAGAUUAAGACAACAAAAGGGCGGUCAUAGAAGUCAAAAUCCUCUAUGGAGUUUGUAUCAAAUCAACUGCCGAAUCAACUAGCCCCUAAAAUGGAUUGCGCUUUAAGCGCUUGACCUACACCCAAGCGUCGCGGCAAGUGCGAGGCCUCGAUG
rnacentral:ncRNA from 2 species